rnacentral:rRNA from 1 species
UACGUAGGGUGCAAGCGUUAUCCGGAAUUAUUGGGCGUAAAGAGCUCGUAGGCGGUUUGUCGCGUCUGCUGUGAAAACCUAAGGCUCAACCUUGGGCUUGCAGUGGGUACGGGCAGACUAGAGUGCGGUAGGGGUGACUGGAAUUCCUGGUGUAGCGGUGGAAUGCGCAGAUAUCAGGAGGAACACCGAUGGCGAAGGCAGGUCACUGGGCCGCAACUGACGCUGAGGAGCGAAAGCAUGGGGGAGCGAACAGG